GCUGCCCAUUCAUACAUGCCUUUCCCAAUUUUCUUAGUUAAUGCCUUAGCAAGUUCUCUAAACCUCCGGAAAAGUUUACUUGACUGAAGUUUGCUGAGAGUACUUGAGAAAGCAUUAAUAGGUGUUUUAGAGGUCUCCUCAACCUUUGGGUGCAAAGAAUGCCGACUAUCAUUUAAUAUCACAAUCAUAUUUGAGUCCAAAUAGCCUGAAUUGCGCAUUGCCUCAUAAACUUGGCCAGCCAUAAUCGUUUCAUUGUUGAUCACUGCCACUACACGAUCACGCUUCCCCUUCAAAUCUCGGGCAAUGGCCAUUCCGAGUCCAGCAGAUACGCUGUUGCAUCCAUGCCCAACUCCGAAGGGGUCGAAUCCGCCUUCAAAAUCUGGCGCUGCCACAGGCCAGCCAUUUGUUUUUUCAAGUGCUUGCAUAAUCUGCCUCCUUCCAGUGAGAAGUUUAUGUGCAUAUGUUUGUUCAGCGACAUCCCACAAUAUUUU
rnacentral:misc_RNA from 1 species